GUUGACGAGCGGCGGACGGGUUGAGUAAUGUCUGGAAACUGCCUGAUGGAGGGGGAUAACUACUUGGAAACGGUAGCUAAUACCGAUAAACGUCCCGCAAAAAGGGAAAACCCCAAAAAAGAAGGGGGGGGGGGGGGGAAACCUUUCCGGGGGCCUCUUUUGGCCCAUCCAAAGGGAAAAAAAAUUUUGGUUGGCCCAGAUGGGAAUUCAGCUAGUAGUGGGGGUUAAAACGGGGGUCACCUUAGGCGACGAUCCCUAGCUGGUCUGAGAGGAUGACCAGCACACUGGAACUGAGACACGGUCCAGACUCCUACGGGAGGCAGCAGUGGGGAAUAUUGCACAAUGGGCGCAAGCCUGAUGCAGCCAUGCCGCGUGUGUGAAGAAGGCCUUCGGGUUGUAAAGUACUUUCAGCGGGGAGGAAGGUGUUGUGGUUAAUAACCACAGCAAUUGACGUUACCCGCAGAAGAAGCACCGGUAAUCCGUGCCAGCAGCGCGGUAAUACGGAGGGUCGCAAGCGUUAAUCGGAAUUACUGGGCGUAAAGCGCACGCAGGCGGUCUGUCCAAGUCGGAUGUGAAAUCCCCAGGGCUCAACCUGGGGAA
rnacentral:rRNA from 1 species